rnacentral:sRNA from 1 species
ACGUUUUUUUCAUAGAGAUUUAGAUUUAAGGUUAGAAGAAUUGUGGAAGUCGUGAGACUUCCCUUUUUUUUCUCUCCUUACGCAUAACUUUCCGGUUUUUCUUUUUCAAGGAAAGUAUGCAUGAAAAGCCCGUUCGUGAGAAAGGGCUUUUUU